AUUAUCCGAGACAGGUGAGUCGGUUAGUAGAACGUGAUAAUAUGUCUGCAACAGGUGUAUGGAGUGGUAUGGAGUCAUUGGAACUUCAGGGCUGAAGUCAACUAGAAAUUUCAAUAUUCUUCUUUCAGUAGAAAAUGCCGCGCGCGUCUGACUCGCUCCUGUGGGGUCAGUGGAAAUAGGACAAAAUGGGGCAGACAUGAAGACCAUCGAUAUCUCGAAAGUCGCUCACGCAUAUGUAUGCCUUAUUGGUUCAGUCGUCUGACGCGUUGUGCAGAAUCUCACGUAUCGACGACUGUUGUUACAAUCCGGCAUAUCGUUUAGAACGUCGACGUUUACAGUAAGAGGUGAAAAAAAAAAAGUACCGAGAUACGCGGGGUUCACAGCAUUUAUACAUUGGUCCUCCGUCUGGCGCCACACUGUCGCAUCCUAUAUACAGCCAACGUAUCCGAUACUACUGGGAACAUUACAUACCUUCGUGUUGCACACACACCGAUGUAGUUGCAACCGCGUGGCGAAUCCACACCCACGUGAGCGUAAAUACAUCAGGAACGACAGCCACACGGUGCAUACAGGGCAAACGAAGGAGAGGAGGAAUAGCUGUAGUGGGACUGCUACAUCGGCGACAUAUUGGGUUGUUGCUUACUAACUUGGAGAAUGGAUGAUUUACGAGGCUGAUUAAACUGGCUAUGCCACCUCCCCCCCUCCCCCUUCCUGCGAUGCCAUGGAACUCUGGAACUGCCUGAAGCUUUAAAUUCUGUUCUUUUUUUGGAAAAAAAAAAACCGAGCGUGCGCUAGCAGGAGGACAUAAUCCUAUUGAUGCUGAAUCCUACUGCGUAGAACGGCCAUUAAUUAACCGCAGAUGCCGAUAGCUUGUCAACCGCAAUUAGUCCCACACACAGGGGUUGGCUAAUUCAGCGUGACUGUUCUCCUGGAUUUCAUGUUUCUAUUUGACUCGCAUUGGUGCACACAUACGCAACCAUAUUUCCACUCAUCUCACAAAGGAUUUUGGGUGCCGUGAGAGGGAGGACCAGAAAUGGAUGAAUUACGCCUGCGGUUGUCAACUGGGGUGCAAAGGGGCCUCUUUCUCUCUCUGUACCACUGUCAAUUCGUUUGGCGCUGUGGCGUCUGGCGAAACUGGUUAUGCACUUACCCAGGUAGGAAAAAACGAAUGGGCCAACCUUGGUACAAGCACGGCCGCCGAGCUGCCGUAGCUCGGCACCCGGGCUCCAGCCAAACUCGCGCCGAACUUGGCUAGACCCUGGGAUGAUAACACGGGGCCAGGCCUGGGACCGAACUUUGGCCAGACUUCGGUCGCCGUACUUUGGCCGCACUCUGGGCUUACCAUUCGGCCCGAAAUUGGCCCAGGCCUGUUGCCGAACUUUGGCCGCACUCUGGGCUUACCAUUCGGCCCGAAAUUGGCCCAGACCUAUUGCCGAACUUUGGCCGCAUUCUGGGCUGACCAUUCGGCCCGAAAUUGGCCCAGAUUUACGACCAGAGCUGUGGCCAGGCUCCAACCGUUGCCUGUAUUGGGUUCAGAAUCACCAAUAAAUAUAUGAACGGUAUAUCUGAUAAGCAGACAUGUAUUUAUUACCUUCAACAUUAUACAGAAAACAGUUUUAUUAUGUGACAAAACUUAUAUUUAAAUUUAUUAAAUCUAUUGACAAAAAAACUCAGCCAAUCAAAAACUUUUUUCCUCCUAUCGACAUAGUACAUGUUUUCAUCCGAUUUUGGUUGAACAGUUAAAGAUAUGCAGUGUUUGUAUCUCCAAUUUUCAUGAAAGAUAAUCACAACUAUGAGAUUUUUCCGCGAACCGAA